rnacentral:misc_RNA from 1 species
UGUGUGAGUGAGCGGCACGUG